UAGUCUUGUCUAAGCUCAUAUGUUCUAUCACCUGGAAUUCUCCGAGUAUUUGGCCGAGAUGUUGUGGAACUCCCUUUAGUUGCAACAAGUAAUGGUAACCAUGGGAUGGGCUACUUCCAAAUCUUGUUUUCUUGCAUUGAGAAGCUGUCGUCUUUCCUGAAUGUGAAGAGCCUUGUCCUCCAG